rnacentral:misc_RNA from 1 species
GAAAGGGUUUUGUUGGCUAGUAUGAUGUUUUGUGAUGGGAUUAGUACAUCGGAAGGGAUGGUGGGCGUGACCAUAUUUGGAACCAAGGAUGAUGCUGGAGGAUCUCCUCUCAAUGUAGAGGUGACAGAAAUGAUACCCUUGUUUGGAAUCUUUAAAUCUGCAGCCAUUUAAGAGGAAAAACACAAAUAUUGCAGGAAAUGAUUAGGU